GAUAUUAGGCUUAAAAUAGAAAUUAAAUUGGAAAUUUAAUUAUCUAAUAGGCAAUCAGUAUUUUUGC
rnacentral:tRNA from 1 species